UGUUUUGGGACUUUUGAGUUCUGUUUUUGACAAACUGGGUUGGCUGCCUCGUAAAGAGCGAAUUAAAGGAUUUUGGACUGAGAAGGUGACUGGAAACUGAGACUGGAGUUCUUAAAGGGGCUCUCAUGAGGGGAAAUUGAGGUAGGUGGCAGACACUGCACUAGAGAUCAUCCAAUAGAAGGUCAAUAGCGUAGGAUCUAUUCCAGGUAAAGUACCUGACUAGGUAAUAAAUCAGACUGAGGAAGGAGUGUUUGAGGCCUGCAAAGAUUGGGUGACCCAAGUGCUCUCUUCUAGCUCCUAUUUUUGCAUCCUUUGUUUUGGACCUUUGUCCCACAUUUUGGCCAUGGCAAGCAAGGAGGUAUGUCAUAGCUGGAAUAUUGAUGGGAGGGGGGUGUCUAUUUUUCCUGGAAUGUUGAUGGGAGUGGGGUGUCUAUUUUUCCUGCAACCCCUCAUGGCAACUACAGCAUGUAACACAAGGACUCUGAAGCAUCACCAGGAAGCCAGUUACCUGCCUGGUGGACCAGGAGUCUGAUGGGGCCUAGCAAAUCCUAAAUUCUCAGGAGCUGGUACCUGUGUUGCUUCUCUGUUUAGCAGCUACAGAUGAUGCAAAGUCGUUGCAUGUAAAUUUACCAGGUAAAUUAUUAAAAAUUGGAAGAACUGCAGCAGGGAACGUGACCUGAAUUAACCCUUAGCAAGCCAGAAGGAGUACGCUGGAAAGCCGAUCCUGCUCUAUAGGAGGUGCUGUAGGUGCAAUUGUAGGUGCUGUAGGCCAGGGGGUGGGAGCAGGAGAGCUGAGGCCUGCAGCCAGAUGAUUUUCCCUGCUAAAGUCAGUGCGGGUAUCUCCCCUCCAUCAUCACCUCCCUGUAUCGCAGCUGGCUCAGGACAGCAGCGAAGGAGUUAAGGGCUGGUGCUGGAGAAGGCCGGCUGUCAGGAGGGAGCAUGUGCAGUUUGCAACCGCAUCCAUGCUACGGGUUAGAAUCACUGGAACAUUUAAUCUCCAGCAGCCGCCGCCGCCUCGAGCCAUCCAUGGAGGCGAGGAAGACAAUGCGCGGCUGAGCGGAGGAGGAGGGAGAGGCAGGAGCGAGGCAGAGCGUGGCCGCAGCAGCUGCUCUGGAGCGCGCUCUCCCCAUCUUCGCCAGGAUUUGAGAGAUUGACAGGGAUCAGCUGCUGCCACCAGCUACAGGAUGUACUGGACAAGACACCAGAAGUGAUUGGGAAGGUGUGGGCCCUGGAAUGGGAAAGAGACAGACAUUAAGAGGCAAUUACACAAUGUAGGUUUGGGGUCUUGCUUGUAUCUUAAAGUGUAUUCUUAAAAACAUGAAUAUAUAUAUUUAUAUUAUUAUAAAAUUUAUUCUCACUUAUUUUGGUGAAUAUCCUUAAAAAUUUAAACGUAGUGAUGAUUGAUUUAAAAAUAAAUCUUUGAAUAAGGAACUGGGAACUGUGAAU
rnacentral:lncRNA from 1 species